UCUCUCUCUCUCGAUCGAUAGAAGGUUCCGAAUCAGAAAGAGAUCGACGGAGCACCAGAUCUUUUCUUUCUCAGCAUCAUCAUUGUUCUGCAUCAGGUUUUGCUGAUAUCGGAGAAGAACGAAGGAACAAAAAGAAAGAGAUCGACGGAGUUCACCAGACCUUUUCGUUCUCAGCGUCGCCAUUGUUCUGCGUCAGGUCUUGUUGAUAUCGAAGAAGAACUAAAGAACAAAAUGCGACGAGAUCGGCGGAGUUCAUCAGCUAAGCAUGGAAACGUCGGUCUCUCUCUCUUCUCGCUCUCUCUCAUAUUUGUCUCAUAUAACUAAAGCUUAGCAUCGUCAUGCCUCCUUCAACGUUUCGAUAGCGUUGAUCCGGAAGAGCACUGGGAGGAUCAAAGCCGAGCGGUAUCAGAGCCAACGAGCGCAUCCGAAGAGAACGAGUUUCUUUGUUCUGUCCAGUUAAUCUGAGACACAAAAAUGGACCGAGUGAGACCUAGGAAUCCUUUGUAUAUGAGAGAGAAGAGCAUCUUUAGUAUCGGUGGUGCACCUUCCCCGUUGAUGUCACCUGUUCAUCAUCACCUUCGAUCUGGAUCCACUCAAGGCUGGGCGUCGGGCCGGCCCGGCUCGGCCCGGUAUGGGCCUGGUUUGGGCCAGGAAAAUCCCGGCCCGGGCCGGGCCCAGGCCCGACAGCCAGGCCCGGAUCGGCCCGGCCCGGCCCGUUUAGGCCCGACCCGAAACGAGACCCCGGCCCGGCCCGAUACCCACCCUUAGGUCUACUGGCCUAGCUAGCUUCAAAAGGUCCCAACAGUAUGAUGCAAAAACUGCUGCUCAAAAGCUUGCACAAGUUAUGGCACAUCAACGGGCUAAUGAUGAAGAUGACGAUGGUGAUGUGCUUUCAUUAGACUAUGUUGUUACAAGCGGCAUUGGCCUUUCAGCAGGAAAGGAGGGAGGUCUCCUAGUCCCCAGUUGGCCACAAAUCAUGUGGAUCCUGGUUCAACCGCCCGUGUACCAUCUGUUGGAAGACCAUCACUGAGGCCAGUGAAAAUACCUCCAGUGAUACCACCUAGUGGGCUAGUUGUUAGACUGCCAGAACAUCCAACUCCUGUAACAGAUGCUGCUGUGGACAAUCAAAAAGAUAAAAGCUUGAUAUGUUACAAGAAGAAAAUGAAAAUCUCCUUGAUAAGGUUCUCUGUCUACUAUACAAGAUGAAACUUUCUGCACCCAAAUCCAUAGUCGUGGAGAGAUUGGCAGUAGCAGAUGGAGCAAUCAAGGAGAUGCACAAUGGGGGAGAAAUGAAAGUGCUUGUCAACUCUUUGACGAUGCCCAUCCUUCCAAUGAAAGGAGCAAACAAGGAUUCUCGAUACAAAGAACAAGAAUUAGGAGACUUAGCUGUAGGCAGCAGAAUAACUACCAAUGAUCCAAAAAUUGGUGAAAGUAAGAGCCCAGCAGCAGAUGAAGUUGGCCAUUUGAGGUAUGUCUAUUUUCCCUUCCUCAUACUUGCUCAGGUUCUAUCGCCUUCAACCAGACUGGGACUCCUGAGAUGGAAUGAGGGAGGGUUCACUGUGUGCACGAUAGUUAAGCAUGGUGGACUGGAAGGAUGCAGCUGUCAGCCCUCAAUGAGAGCUGCCUUAGAAAUCGAGACCAAAGAGGUGCAAGGCUGUGCGAAUUUUUCAAUGUGGUGAUUCAGAGGAUUUACCUGAAAUAGUGGAGGGGCAAACUAGUUCCUAUGAUAAUAUUACAGAAAUAGAAGAAACACAAGAUGGUCAUGAUGAUAACAAAAUUGCGGAUGUAUACUUGCAAAGGGCAUUAUCUGUUCUUCUUGAUGUUACUUUGUUGGAAGUGUUUUAUCACCUGUUCUAAACAUGCCAAUUUCAGAGUCAAAGCGGCAGAGGGUAUUGGUUGCAUCCUGCAUUCUCUACUCAGAGAGCCAAAAGGACAGCUUCUGUUAAUAAAUGGGAGGACAGAAGAUGAAGUUGCAAGGAGCUUGGAAAGGGUGUUGCUUACAUUGCGAAUAAGCACCUUAGAGCCAAAGGUUUUGAGGAGUACUUUCAAAAAGAUGCACAUCUAUGUUCAUCAGAAGUACGGUUAUUCGUAUGAAUGGAAUGAGUAGUAUAUACCAUGUUGCAUGGAUACUUAUGUUACAUUGGUUUGGAACACAGUCUUGAGGUUCUUGGAGUUGCUGCAAUUGAAGACCGUCUGCAGGUGUUCCUGGAACAAUCGAUCUGCUUCGGAAGGCUGGAAUCAACUUUUGGAUGCUUACUGGUGAUAAACAAAAUACAACCAUUCAGAUAGCGCUAUCUUGCAACCUAAUUUCUCCUGAUCUUCAAUAUGUGGAUGAACGGAAGACGCCCUUGAUCCUUUUAUGUGCUGCUGUUGGUGGAGACUCAGGCCUGCACAGAUGGUGUAGGCAUACGUGACAAAGAUAACAGGAAUAUUGCUAGCAUCCAGAUCUAAUAAGCCAAAAGGACAGCUUCUGUUAAUAAAUGGGAGGACAGAAGAUGAAGUUGCAAGGAGCUUGGAAAGGGUGUUGCUUACAUUGCGAAUAAGCACCUUAGAGCCAAAGGUUUUGAGGAGUACUUUCAAAAAGAUGCACAUCUAUGUUCAUCAGAAGUACGGUUAUUCGUAUGAAUGGCAUGAGUAGUAUAUACCAUGUUGCAUGGAUACUUAUGUUACAUUGGUUUGGAACACAGUCUUGAGGUUCUUGGAGUUGCUGCAAUUGAAGACCGUCUGCAGGUGUUCCUGGAACAAUCGAUCUGCUUCGGAAGGCUGGAAUCAACUUUUGGAUGCUUACUGGUGAUAAACAAAAUACAACCAUUCAGAUAGCGCUAUCUUGCAACCUAAUUUCUCCUGAUCUUCAAUAUGUGGAUGAACGGAAGACGCCCUUGAUCCUUUUAUGUGCUGCUGUUGGUGGAGACUCAGGCCUGCACAGUUGGUGUAGGCAUACGUGAGAAAGAUAACAGGAAUACUGCUAGCAUCCAGAUCUAAUAAGCCAAAAGGACAACUUCUGUUAAUAAAUGGGAGGACAGAAGAUGAAGUUGCAAGGAGCUUGGAAAGGGUGUUGCUUACAUUGCGAAUAAGCACCUUAGAGCCAAAGGUUUUGAGGAGUACUUUCAAAAAGAUGCACAUCUAUGUUCAUCAGAAGUACGGUUAUUCGUAUGAAUGGAAUGAGUAGUAUAUACCAUGUUGCAUGGAUACUUAUGUUACAUUGGUUUGGAACACAGUCUUGAGGUUCUUGGAGUUGCUGCAAUUGAAGACCAUCUGCAGGUGUUCCUGGAACAAUCGAUCUGCUUCGGAAGGCUGGAAUCAACUUUUGGAUGCUUACUGGUGAUAAACAAAAUACAACCAUUCAGAUAGCGCUAUCUUGCAACCUAAUUUCUCCUGAUCUUCAAUAUGUGGAUGAACGGAAGACGCCCUUGAUCCUUUUAUGUGCUGCUGUUGGUGGAGACUCAGGCCUGCACAGAUGGUGUAGGCAUACGUGAGAAAGAUAAUUGGAAUACUGCUAGCAUCCAGAUCUAAUAAGCCAAAAGGACAGCUUCUGUUAAUAAAUGGGAGGACAGAAGAUGAAGUUGCAAGGAGCUUGGAAAGGGUGUUGCUUACAUUGCGAAUAAGCACCUUAGAGCCAAAGGUUUUGAGGAGUACUUUCAAAAAGAUGCACAUCUAUGUUCAUCAGAAGUACGGUUAUUCGUAUGAAUGGAAUGAGUAGUAUAUACCAUGUUGCAUGGAUACUUAUGUUACAUUGGUUUGGAACACAGUCUUGAGGUUCUUGGAGUUGCUGCAAUUGAAGACCAUCUGCAGGUGUUCCUGGAACAAUCGAUCUGCUUCGGAAGGCUGGAAUCAACUUUUGGAUGCUUACUGGUGAUAAACAAAAUACAACCAUUCAGAUAGCGCUAUCUUGCAACCUAAUUUCUCCUGAUCUUCAAUAUGUGGAUGAACGGAAGACGCCCUUGAUCCUUUUAUGUGCUGCUGUUGGUGGAGACUCAGGCCUGCACAGAUGGUGUAGGCAUACGUGAGAAAGAUAAUUGGAAUACUGCUAGCAUCCAGAUCUAAUAAGCCAAAAGGACAGCUUCUGUUAAUAAAUGGGAGGACAGAAGAUGAAGUUGCAAGGAGCUUGGAAAGGGUGUUGCUUACAUUGCGAAUAAGCACCUUAGAGCCAAAGGUUUUGAGGAGUACUUUCAAAAAGAUGCACAUCUAUGUUCAUCAGAAGUACGGUUAUUCGUAUGAAUGGAAUGAGUAGUAUAUACCAUGUUGCAUGGAUACUUAUGUUACAUUGGUUUGGAACACAGUCUUGAGGUUCUUGGAGUUGCUGCAAUUGAAGACCGUCUGCAGGUGUUCCUGGAACAAUCGAUCUGCUUCGGAAGGCUGGAAUCAACUUUUGGAUGCUUACUGGUGAUAAACAAAAUACAACCAUUCAGAUAGCGCUAUCUUGCAACCUAAUUUCUCCUGAUCUUCAAUAUGUGGAUGAACGGAAGACGCCCUUGAUCCUUUUAUGUGCUGCUGUUGGUGGAGACUCAGGCCUGCACAGAUGGUGUAGGCAUACGUGAGAAAGAUAAUAGGAAUACUGCUAGCAUCCAGAUCUAAUAAGCCAAAAGGACAGCUUCUGUUAAUAAAUGGGAGGACAGAAGAUGAAGUUGCAAGGAGCUUGGAAAGGGUGUUGCCUACAUUGCGAAUAAGCACCUUAGAGCCAAAGGUUUUGAGGAGUACUUUCAAAAAGAUGCACAUCUAUGUUCAUCAGAAGUACGGUUAUUCGUAUGAAUGGCAUGAGUAGUAUAUACCAUGUUGCAUGGAUACUUAUGUUACAUUGGUUUGGAACACAAUCUUGAGGUUCUUGGAGUUGCUGCAAUUGAAGACCGUCUGCAGAGCGAGGUUUUUACGAACAUGAGAGGCCAAGUUCAACAUACCUUGCUGUCAUCCCCAAAGUGUGUUCCUACCCUGCGCAUGGCUGUAAAAGAUGCAAAAGAUAUGGAACGGGAGAAGGAUUAUGUUGCUACAGAAAAAGACUUUGUAGAGUUUGCAUCCAAAGUAAAUGAAGGAAAUCCUGCAGAAAUCGUGCAGUCUUAAGAAGAAAAUCAAGAAAACUUACAGCAGACUGUGGCAAAGCACGGAUUCGAAAUCACCUGCAUGAGACAAGAUCUUGCUGUCGUAACCUGAAAUAUUGAUGAAAUCAGAGGAAUGCUUUGCUUGGUUUUGCAAAACGCGCAGAAUAAAGACGAAAAUCACCAGGCAUUUCCUGCUGCAAACCGUGUCCCCAACAUCGGUGCAUUGGGAGCUGCUGGAGGCGAACGGUCGCGGGAUUACCUUGCGAGAGGAGUUGGGGUUUUGGGAGAAAAUUGGGAUCGUGACUUUGUAUCAGUUGAAGGGUUUCCUGUCGAAGCACCAUUGGCGGUCGACGUCAAGGCUCCCUGUCAGAGUUCCCUUGCAUUCGUCUUUGUCUUCCUCCCAUCAACAGGCGGUGGGUUCAGCCGUGGAUUCGACCGUCACUGGUCUGCACGCCGGUGAAUGGACGAGGAUGCCUUGUCCGGCCAAGGAAGCAUCUACAACAUCAGGGUUGCCCGUCACUUUGGGUGGCAAGGAGAGGUGUGGCAGACAUCACCGGCCGAUGGUGGUGCAGGGAGUGCUGCCGGCACCCACGGAGUCCAUUUUGCUCCUUCUGCAACUAUUGGGCGAGAUUCAAAGGCGCCUCCAACUGUUUGACCACCGCCUAUGACCUUACUGCCUGGAGAAGAAGGUGGACUGAUGGGCGGACGCCCACUGUCGCCGUUAUCCCACCAUCAUCACGGGUGGGAGGCGGUGGGUGCCCCUCCCUCCCACGGCGGCUUUAGCUUUCUGCCUGAGGAAAGGAGAAACCACCGAUGUGUCGAGGGGCUUCGAGAAAAAUCUCGAAGGGCAUGACGGUUCGGGCCGGUCCCUUAUGGGACUGGUUCGAACCAAAUCAGAGUUUGGACCCGAUUCGAGUCCAUAUCACCUGAUUCACAGGUAUAAGGGUUCGAAUCGGGAUCAAAAUCAGUUUGUUUCAUCAUUUGAGACUGGAUCUGAUUUGGGGAUGCCCAUAGAUUAUAUCCAAGCUUGGGUUUCUUCUCCAAAGCCGCCACGAUGCUGCCACUUUGAUCAUCAUCAGAAGAUAGGGAGCAUACCACCACUUUAGCAUACGCAGGAGAACAAUGGGACCUUUUGUUCACCAGAUCCAAACCUUGUCCAAACUCUCUAAGGUGAAGAAGCAUUUUGGCAGAAUGAAUGAUUUAAACUCGUCGAGGAUGACUUUUCUCCAACUAGGGGAGUCUGAUGCAAGAUGAAAGCAUAACCAAAUUUUGUAAUUGGAUCCAAUUAGAAUUUUUAGUAUUUGUAAAUGGAUCUAGAUCUGCAGUCCAUCCCUUUCUCUAUAUAAAGGGGCGUUGGAUCAUGUUGUAGGGGAAUCAAUCAGUUGAAAGAAAUGCCAGUUGUUUGUUAGUUUUCUUUUGUUCUUCUUGUUUGUUUGAUCUUUGCUUGAUUUUUAGUUAGUUUCAGUUUAGUAGUGAGUGCAGUUGGAUUAAGAUUCGUUAAUCUUAAUUCUUCUUGCAUUAUUUAGCCUCCUGUAAUUUCCUAAUAUUGUGCUUUCACAAUGACUGUCACUGUUGGAUCUUUGUAUUCAAUCUCUAUUUAUGCUUCAUCUUCUACUUUUGAAAACUUGAUACAUGUUAUAGUCCUUUACAACAUCCAGAGAGAUUGUUCCUCAUGUCAUUUGCUUAUGUAAUCCAAGUUUAAAUGUGCUAAUCACUGCAAAUUGAAGGCUUGGUAUUGCAUUAGGAAACGACUAAUGACAGAAAUAUUUUCAUCUGUUACUUUGUACUGGAUAACUAAAACAACUAUAUCGUAUUCCUAAAUGGUCAUUCCAUUGUCAAAGCAUGUAUGGUUAUGUACAUGGCUUUUGUACCUCUUCAUAAUUUGAGCAUUUCACUACGUAAAUGCUUAUGGCUCCUCGUUAUGUCAACUUCUAACUUGAUUAAUCUCAUAUCAGUUAAGCUAAGUGGAUCAUGUUUGUGUAUUACAUUU